GCCUCAUUAGUGUUAACGGAAACAUACUUCCUUCGUAACGAAGUGUCCUCGGUUCGACUCCGAGAUGGGGCUC
rnacentral:tRNA from 2 species